AGGACGAACGCUGGCGGUGUGCUUAACACAUGCAAGUCGAGCGUGAAGCCGGGGGCUUGCCCCUGGUGGAAAGCGGCGAACGGGUGAGGAACACGUGAGGAACCUGCCCCAGACACCGGGAUAACUCCGGGAAACCGAAGCUAAUACCGGAUAUUCUCGCGGAAUCGCAUGAUUCUGCGAGGAAAUGCUCAGACGGUCUGGGAUGGCCUCGCGGCCUAUCAGCUUGUUGGUGGGGUAACGGCCUACCAAGGCAACGACGGGUAGCUGGUCUGAGAGGACGAUCAGCCACACUGGGACUGAGACACGGCCCAGACUCCUACGGGAGGCAGCAGUGGGAAUAUUGCGCAAUGGGCGAAAGCCUGACGCAGCGACACCGCGUGCGGGAUGGAAGGCCGUUCGGGUUGUAAACCGCGUUUCGGCGAGGGAAGAAGCGAAAGUGACGGUACUGCAGAAGAAGCUACCGGCUAACUACGUGCCAGCAGCCGACGU
rnacentral:rRNA from 1 species